UGCGGAUGGAGCUGAAGCCAGUCGAAGAUACCAGCUGGCUGCAACUGUUUAUUAAAAACACAGCACUGUGCAAACACGAAAGUGGACGUAUACGGUGUGACGCCUGCCCGGUGCUGGAAGGUUAAUUGAUGGGGUUAGCGUAAGCGAAGCUCUUGAUCGAAGCCCCAGUAAACGGCGGCCGUAACUAUAACGGUCCUAAGGUAGCGAAAUUCCUUGUCGGGUAAGUUCCGACCUGCACGAAUGGCGUAAUGAUGGCCAGGCUGUCUCCACCCGAGACUCAGUGAAAUUGAACUCGCAGUGAAGAUGCUGUGUACCCGCGGCAAGACGGAAAGACCCCGUGAACCUUUACUAUAGCUUGACACUGAACAUUGAGCCUUGAUGUGUAGGAUAGGUGGGAGGCUUUGAAGCGGUGACGCCAGUCAUCGUGGAGCCAACCUUGAAAUACCACCCUUUAAUGUUUGAUGUUCUAACUUUGGCCCCUAAUCGGGGUUGAGGACAGUGUCUGGUGGGUAGUUUGACUGGGGCGGUCUCCUCCCAAAGAGUAACGGAGGAGCACGAAGGUUAGCUAAUCACGGUCGGACAUCGUGAGGUUAGUGCAAUGGCAUAAGCUAGCUUGACUGCGAGAGUGACGGCUCGAGCAGGUACGAAAGUAGGUCAUAGUGAUCCGGUGGUUCUGAAUGGAAGGGCCAUCGCUCAACGGAUAAAAGGUACUCCGGGGAUAACAGGCUGAUACCGCCCAAGAGUUCAUAUCGACGGCGGUGUUUGGCACCUCGAUGUCGGCUCAUCACAUCCUGGGGCUGAAGUAGGUCCCAAGGGUACGGCUGUUCGCCGUUUAAAGUGGUACGCGAGCUGGGUUUAGAACGUCGUGAGACAGUUCGGUCCCUAUCUGCCGUGGGCGCUGGAAGAUUGAGAGGGGUUGCUCCUAGUACGAGAGGACCGGAGUGAACGCACCACUGGUGUUCGGGUUGUCAUGCCAAUGGCAUUGCCCGGUAGCUACGUGCGGAAAAGAUAACCGCUGAAAGCAUCUAAGCGGGAAACUUGCCUCGAGAUGAGUCUUCCCUUGGACUUUAAGUCCACUGAAGGAACGUUAAAGACGAUGACGUUGAUAGGUCGGGUGUGUAAGCGUAGCGAUACGUUGAGCUAACCGAUACUAAUGAACCGUGAGACUUAACCUU
rnacentral:rRNA from 1 species